UACGUAGGCAGCAAGCGUUGUUCGGAGUUACUGGGCGUAAAGGGUGUGUAGGCGGUUUUUUAAGUUUGGUGUGAAAUCUCCCGGCUCAACUGGGAGGGUGCGCCGAAUACUGAAAGACUAGAGUGCGGGAGAGGAAAGUGGAAUUCCUGGUGUAGCGGUGAAAUGCGCAGAUAUCAGGAGGAACACCAACGGCGAAGGCAGCACUCUGGGCCGGUACUGACGCUGAGGAGCGAAAGCGUGGGGAGCAAACAGG
rnacentral:rRNA from 1 species